AAUCGCACAAUAGGCCAAUACCUGACAAGAAAGGAAAAGUAGAAGCUACAUUUGAUAGAUCUUUCCGCAUGAAAUAGGCAAAGCAUGAUAGGUUUAGGGUUUAUGAUGUCCUCUCUGCAACCAGACGUCCAAGCUGCAAUCAAACAUGGAUAAGAUUGGCUGAAAUCAAAGAAUCAAACAUGGAUAAGAUUGGCAGAAAUCAAAGAGCUUCGUCCAAAUGGGUUUUUCAAGUUUUAACCCGGGAUCUGCCUUUAUGGUAAUCAACGACACGGUUUCAGUGCCGGCCAGUUGAGCGUGAUGCUGUCAAACCCAUGCCAGACCAGACAAUGUGGCUGCUAACGACAAAAUGAGCACACCAGAACCAGGCGUACUAAGGAUCUAGAUUUCCUUUGUUUGUUCCAAGUGCAACCCCCAAUUUUUUGAGCAAGAGAUAAAGGAUGGAUCGGUGGAAAGCUGCACGCAUGUGAACUGGCGAAUUGAUGGUCGGUACUUCUUAUAUGGGAUUCCCUUAUCUUGUCCUCAAUUAGUGGUGCCCCUAGCUUCUAAGGUUGCAUUCAUUCCUUUUUGUUUUUUUGUUUUUUUUUUUCUAAUUCUAUUCUUUGUCAUCAUCCCUGUCAUCCAUACGAACAUCCUCAUUUUGGAUUUGUUUUUUGACUUCCUACAGUUUAGCAUAAUAAUGUGUGACCAUAAGGGUGUUAUGAACCUUUCGUAUUGUACUUGACAGUGAUGUACCAUCCACAAGAUAGUGUUGCCACUUAAAUAUUCCCUUUAAUUUGAUUGGCAUUAAUCACUAAUUUUCAUUGUUCUUUCACUUCUCUUAGUUUUUGCGAAAUUAAGUCAAAUAUAUUUUGCCCUAGUUCUUAUUCUGAAACCCUUGGAUUCCAAAGCAUCUAAAGAUAGUUUAAUUAACCUUGGUGCUAGUUUAUUUCACGGAGGCAUGCCAUUAGUAGAUAAUACACCCGAACGGGCUUUUCCUUAACUAUGCUUGGUAAAUUCAUCCACACCCAAUACAAGAAAUUAAAUGAGAUUAGUGCUUAUCCUUAUAUAAGCUCGUUAUGAUUAGAAAUUCACUUUUCUCUGCUCCAAUUACUUGCAUCCAUAAAUGUCCUGAUCAAGUUGAUAUAUUUAGUUGAUAUUUGUUUGUUUUAUAAGGCCUGCCAUACUAUCUCUAACAACUCAUACUCAAUGUUGAAUCUCUUUGAAAUGAGAUCAAAUUGAUUCUUUGAUACACCUGCAUAUUAUCUCUUUAUAUGCACUUAUCACUCUGUAAAGAUUCAUUCAAUGAAAAACUAGUUUGGUACCAUGAGAGUUGUGAUUUUCAAAUUUCAAUACCACCUUUGUUCUUAUAUACCACCAAAGUACUUCUUUUCCUCUUUAUUCAUGAGUUAAUCAUGUUGUUGGCAGCAUUAGUGUGUAGAUGAUGGCAUGACUUGUUAGUGGUUGUGGUGAUGGUGACAGGCCACUGCAGGUGGAAGACUAACAGGGAAUAGUGUUUGUGGGCAUCAAGUUAGGACCAGAUCCAUGUGAGUAAGCUCCUGAAUGACACUUUGUCAUCUAUAAUUGUGAUGCAUAUUUACAAGCUGACCAGAAAAACAAUUCCAGAAUGGAUGAACAGUCUUUCUAAGAUACAUAUUUUAUAUAAUGUCUCUUUCCUCAUCACAAACCAUUUGCUACUUGGAAUUUAUAUUUAUUUUCUUGUAUUUGUUCAAAUUUUUGUGCUUAGUAUUUGUUGCUAUUUGAGGUUUUAUCAAAUAUAGGGUCAGGUGACUGCUGUGGUUGACCUGAUGCUAUACAUUUAUACAUCUCUGGUUUCUAUUGUUGUUUUUUUGAGCUAGUUACUUCUAAUGGAUUGAAGCUUAUGAUCAUAAGGCUUGAACCCAUUCAAUCCACUCUGUCAGUCAUUGUUAUAUAAUCUGUUUUAUUGACUUUCUGUAAUAUUGGCCAGUGCAGAGAGAACGGGUUUUCAUAAGGACUCCCUGGAGACCUAGAUUCAAAUAUUCUAGGUUAUAUAAUUAGCACCUUGUCUUCUUCCUUCGAAAGGAAAAGGAAAGGAAAAAAUUAACUGCAAUCAGUUAUAUUGACGAGUUUUUUCCUUGUUUGGACAGUUUAUUCUUCUGUGUGACUUGGCUUGCACAGCUAAUGUUCCUGCUGUGCCAUGCUACUGCAAGAUUCCAAUGCAACAAUUGAGAGAAGAGGCCGUUAAUUAGUUCCUGUUGAAAAGUGUCUCACAUUCUAUUUUUGAGUCGAUUGAAAAGUUAUAAAUAGUUUCCAAGUAGAAAAUAUUUUUGUAAGUGGGUUUACUAUUAUUAUAAAUGAAAUACCCUGUCAUGAGAUGUUCUUUUAGGAAAAGGCAUUCAAAAAUAG